CUGCCUUACACAGGGGGAUAACACCUGGAAACAGGUGCUAAUACCGCAUAAGCGCACAGGGCCGCAUGGCCCGGUGUGAAAAACUCCGGUGGUGUAAGAUGGACCCGCGUCUGAUUAGCUUGUUGGCGGGGUAGGGGCCCACCAAGGCGACGAUCAGUAGCCGGCCUGAGAGGGUGGACGGCCACAUUGGGACUGAGACACGGCCCAAACUCCUACGGGAGGCAGCAGUGGGGGAUAUUGGACAAUGGGGGAAACCCUGAUCCAGCGACGCCGCGUGAGUGAAGAAGUAUUUCGGUAUGUAAAGCUCUGUCAGCAGGGAAGAAAGAAAUGACGGUACCUGACCAAGAAGCCCCAGCUAACUACGUGCCAGCAGCCGCGGUAAUACGUAGGGGCAAGCGUUAUCCGGAAUUACUGGGUGUAAAGGGAGCGUAGACGGUGAUGCAAGUCUGGAGUGAAAGGCGGGGGCCCAACCCCCGGACUGCUCUGGAAACUGUGUAACUUGAGUGCAGGAGAGGUAAGCGGAAUUCCUAGUGUAGCGGUGAAAUGCGUAGAUAUUAGGAGGAACACCAGUGGCGAAGGCGGCCUGCUGGACAUUAACUGACGCUGAGGCGCGAAAGCGUGGGGAGCAAACAGGAUUAGAUACCCUGGUAGUCCACGCCGUAAACGAUG
rnacentral:rRNA from 1 species